GCCGAAGUGGUGGAAUUGGUAGACACGCUAUCUUGAGGGGGUAGUGGGCAUUGCCCGUGCGAGUUCGAGUCUCGCCUUCGGCACCA
rnacentral:tRNA from 1 species